UUGGCCUUCCUGCUAAUAACAAUACCCCCUCAUCACACACACAAGCACACACACACCACACCACCCCCCUCCCCUCUCCCCCUUCUCUUUCCCUCUCUAGAACUUUCUCUCUCUAUAAUUGCUCUGAGGUCGCCGUCCGCACUGUUUGAUCUGUCCAGGUAAAGUCAGUGCAGUGUCACCGACACCUGUUUGUCCUGCAUGUGGGAGAGAGAGAGGAGAGAAUGGACUGGAAGAGAAAGAGAUAGAGAGAUAUAUAGAGAGAGUAUUUGUUGUGUAUUUAUUUUUUCAUUUUUGGCUAUUUGGGUUUGCUUUUCUUGUUCUGAGCAAACCCUAAAUGGUGAUGAAAAGUGGUAGAUUUGAAGCCUUUCCUUAAAUGGGUGUAACGGUUUACUCAGAUCUGACUCAUUUUUCUCUGUGGUACACAUUUUUUAUGAUUUUAAUGGGGUUGUUUCCUACCAUUUUUGGGAAGAAAAUCUUUUAUUCCUUUUGACCCAAUUUUUGUUAUGAAUUUCUCUUGUUGUUUUGGGACUUGUUGAGAACUGACAGAAGAGAGUGAGCACAUGGAGGCAGAUUGUAUGAGUCCAUACCAUUGCUUUUGCGUGCUCACCUCUCUUUCUGUCAGCUUUCAGUGCCCAAAUUCGAUCCACUCUCAAGUACUUUCUCUCUCUAUACAUCCCUUUCUAUUUUUUUCUGUUCCGAAUGAUACUCCAUUUUUGGGCCUGUGGGCGUGGUAGUUGAAGCAGCACCUGAGUGUGAUAUAAUUGGCUCUAUUUGUCGAUUUACUCUUGUAUUACAUGUUUAAAUCUCAUAUAUUUAAUUGUAUUACAUGUUUAAAUUUGAUUAUUUAAUUAUAUAUAUUUAAUUAUAUUACUUUUGAUGGCUUUCUUUGAGAAGGUAACCCUAAUUACUGUGCUAAAUUAACGGAAAACAUGUAUUAUUAUGAGAUCAUUAUUAUCACUGACCCUUUAGAUAUAUAUAUAUAGCUAUAUAACUUAUCUACCUAGCUAUAGGUCCUAUAUCUAUAGGAUGGUCCCAAAGCAUCUCUCUUGUUUUUCUCUCCUUUUUUCAGUUUCUUACAUUUUUUUUUCAUCUUACGCAUGCUAUGUCUACACGAUAAUCGAUUUAAUUGGAGUUUGUUUUUCACCUGAAUUAAGCCAUAAUCUGAUAGAGCUUGAACUCUCAUUCCAAAGGGGUACUUUUUAUGAUUUUGCUUUUCACUAGAAUUUUGUUGCUUUUGCUCUCAGUUUAAAUGGGUUUUGAUUCAAAUAGCUCUCGGUUCAUAUGGGUUUUGCUUCAAGUGCUUGAAUCUUUGUUUUGUAACACUCUUUCUGCAAAUGGGUUUUCCUAUGAUCAUGCUUUAUUUUCUAUUUAUUUAUUUAUUUUGUUUGGAUUUCUGAUUUUGAGGUAAUUAUAAAAAGGGUGUGUUAAUAUUCGCUUGUUACCCUCUUGGUGUUAGGUGAUGAUGUUAUAUUAGAAAUAGAGGACAUUUUGGCUUUUAUUUCCGUCUUGUUCCUCGAGUUUUUGCAGGUCAGCAUGGAUUUAUGAAGGAAUUUAAUUUCAAGUUCUAUAUUAAGGAGGAUGAUCUUCCAAAUAAUUUAAAAGCAGGCUAUGCACUAUUUUGCUAGGUUUGCACCAGUUCAUUCAUGCCUAACUUUCCAUGGUGAUGCAAGAGGUGCAUUGAGCCAAGGGAAGUGAAGCAAAGGGAAGUUCUAAAGCAAGGAAGCAAGUUAAGCUAAGCUAAGCAAAAUCAUAAAACGCUAAAAAUAAAAAAAAUAUUUUGCAAGGCAUAGCAAAAAAAAUUGAAAACUAAUUUGAAGUUGCUUAAGGACCUUUUGUGAGCUUUUCUAACUCUCUCUCUAGUUAAAUCGUCAGCCCGCGUGGUGGCAAUUUAUAAAUUCUUAGAUAAAUCGUGAGCCCGCGUGGAGGCAAUUUAUUUUUCUUGCAUAUUGUUGAAAGCAUGGGAGUAUGGGUUUGUUGUUAAUUGCUUUGUGUUGCGAAGGAGGAGUGCUAGUUUUUGUUGAUUUUGUUGUUGUGUUGUUUAAAGUUUUGUGCGGUCUUUUCCCUACUUUUCAUCUUGACCACUCCAAUGGAAAAUUUAGAGGGUAAUCUUGGUUAUUUAGACCCGGAUUUCAUGGAACAUCUUCCUUUUAACCAAUUUCCUCCCGGAGUUUAAGCUCCAAUUUCUCCAAUGAUCCUUCGUGAUCAUUACAAUUUCCAUGAAUACCAUGCACUGACUUGUGUCAUGCUUCCUAAUUUUGGGGCCAAUUAAUAUGAAAUUAAGCCCGAGACUAUUCAAAUGUGUCCACUUUUUUGUGGCUUAGAUGAUGAAGAACCAUAGAAACAUCUUGAUGAUUUUCUUGAAAUAUGCUCCACCGUGAAAUACAUGAAUGUCUUAGAAGAAGUUCUUAGGUUUUUCCUCUUUCUCUUUACUCUUAAAAAUAAGGCAAAACAUUGGUUCAACAAUAUGAGGGCAAAUUCAAUAACUUCUUGGAUACAAAUGCAAAAUGAAUUUUUAAAAAAUUUUUACCCCGUAAGUUUGACCAAUUCAAUGAGAACCGCCAUUAGAGAAUUUUCUCACGGGGAAGGAGAACUUUUGUAUGAGGCUUGGGAAAGAUUGAAUGAUUUGCUAAAGAAAUGUCCACAUCAUGGCAUUCCAAAAUGGCAAGUGGUUCAAUAUUUCUACGAAAGCUUAUCCGACAUUCACAAGGACAUAGUUGAUACAUCAUGUGGAGGUUCAUAUUUUGGGAAACAUAAAGAUGAUGUUUGGCACCUUUUUGAAAAUAUGAGUGAAAAUUCAUUGCAUAAAUAUCACACUUCUCGGGUGAGUCAUGAUUCUAAUGAAAAAAAGAAAAAUUUGAGUGUGUCAAAUUGAAAGUCCAAUGGAGAUUGUAGCCGAGGUCAAAACUCUCACUAAAAGACUUGAUCAAUUUUUAUUGAGUCAAAAACCGGCUACUCAAUCAUCUCAUUUUCAUAGUUAUCAUCCUUAUCAUUCUUGUAAGCCUUGCAUAACAUGUUCAAGUGUAUUUCAUACUACUUUUAAUUAUCCCCAUGGACAUGUGCUUGAUGAACACUAUGAACAAGUCAAUGUUACAUUUGCUCACCCUCAUUCAAAUGCUUAUAUUCUGGCGUGGAGUGAAUAUUCAAGUCCUUUUCAAGCUAAAAAUUUUCAAAGUCGGUAUGUUCCUCCUCAUCAAAGAAAUGAAGGUUCUCAAGGAUUUGUUUCAUCUUCUUCUUAUCAUCAAAGAAUGAAUCACUAUUCUCAUCCUCAAGUGUAUGAUUCUCAAAUUUGCCCUCAUCAUCCUCGUGCAGUUUCUAGUAAUUCCACAUUUGAAGAUAAGGUUUUGGUGGCUUUGGGUAGUUUGGAAAUGAAUACUAAAUUAUUACAUUUUUGUCAAUCAAUAUCGAAGCUUGAAUCCCAAAUUGGGAUGAUAGCUAAUUCCUUGAAUGAAAGAGAAAUUGGUAAACUAACUAGCCAACCCGAAAGAAACCCAAAAGCCCAAUACUUUGUGGAAGCGAAUCCUACAUCGGGGUACCCUUCCCAAGAGCAAGUGUAAGCCAUUACCACUUUGAGAAGUGGUAGGCAAAUUGAUAAUAGGGUUGAAAAACCAAGUGACGAUAGUGAACUGGUGCAACCCAAAGUUAGUACCCGUCCCAUUUCUUAUCUUUCUCCUACUUCCUUGGAAGAAAAUGUUCCCAUUAAGAAUUCUCAAUCUUCUUCAUCAUCUCCUCAAGUUGCAAAAUCUUAUGACCUAAAAGCUCCAUUUCCAUAUGCUUUGAGAGAGACUUCGCCUUUUGGGAGGCAAGAAGGAAAAAUCCAUGACAAUGGUGGUGUUUAAACAAGUUAACGUCAAUCUUUCUCUCUUGGAUGCAAUUAGGCAAAUUCCACCUUAUGUAAAAAUUUUGAAAGACCUUUGCACACAAAAGAGAAAGAACAAGGGACAAGGCUCUAAAAAAGUGUUCCUCACGGAGCAAGUGAGUUCCAUCAUUCAACAUAACACUCCACCUAAGUUCAAUGAUCCCGGUGCUCCGACCAUCUCAUGUGUGAUUGGAAACCAUGAAGUUCGUAGAGCUCUUCUUGACUUAGGAGCGAGUGUUAAUUUGAUUCCUUACUCCAUUUAUGUCCAGCUAGGUUUGAAUGAUUUGAAGCCAACCUCGGUGGUGCUUCAAUUAGUCGAUAGAUCCUUCAAAACACCUAGAGGUAUGGUUGAGGACAUACUCAUCAAAGUUGACAAGUUCUAUUUCCCGGUUGAUUUUGUGGUUUUUGAUACCGAACCGAUUUCCAAUCCUACCAACCAUAUCCCAAUCAUCUUAGGAAGGCCAUUUCUUGCCACUAUGAAUGCAACCAUUAAUUGUAGAUCCGGUGUUAUGGACCUUUCUUUUGGUAACAUGAUGGUUAAGCUUAAUGUCUUCAAUGCGAGUUGACAUCCUAUCAAUAAAGACAAGUGUUGUCUCAUAGAUGUCUUGGAUGAAGUUGUCGAGGAGUCCACUCCUUCCAUGAUUAUGAAAAAACCAACCGAGGACAAUAUUUCAUCUCUCCUUUCCGAGAAUUCUCUUACAUCUUGUCUCCUUGAAAUGUAUGGGAAUUGUGGGUUCGAUAAUGAGGGAUCAAUGAGUGAGGUAAGCAAUUUAAUGGAAUCCGUUGCAAGCUUGGAUUUUCCACCUUGGAAAGCUCCAAAAGAACCUCUUCUUCCACUCUCCAGCACUCCACCUGUUCCAUCUUUAAUCUCCCCACCUACUUUUGAGCUUAAAACUCUUCCUUAUAAUCUUAAGUAUGUCUUCUUAGGCCCGAAAGAGACUCUUCCGGUCAUCAUUUCUUUAAGUCUUGAAGAAGACCAAAAGAAUGAUCUUUUAAAUGUGCUUAAAGAAAAUAAGAAGCUAUUAGAUGGAGUGUGGUGGAUCUAAAGGGAAUUGACCCUUCCAUUUGCAUGCAUCGCAUUCUCAUGGAAGAGGAUGAGAAACCUUUUAGAAAUGCCCAAAGGAGAUUAAACCCAAACAUAAAAGAAGUGGUUAAGAAGGAAGUUGUAAAGCUUUUAGAUGCCAGUAUAAUUUAUCCAAUCUCUGAUAGCAAAUGGGUGAGUCCAACUCAAAUAGUUCCCAAGAAUUCGGGUGUAUGCAUUGAUUACCGGAAGCAAAAUGCCACCACUAGAAAAAAUCACUUUCCUUUGCCAUUCAUUGAUCAAAUUCCAGAGAGAUUGGCCGGGCAACAAUAUUAUUACUUUCUUGAUAGCUAUUCGGGUUACAAUCAAGUAGCCCUUGACCCUUAGACCAAGAGAAAAUCACAUUUACUUGUCCUUUUGGCACAUUUGCCUAUAGACGGAUGCUAUUUGGUAUGUGCAAUUCCCUUGCCACAUUUUAAAGGUGUAUGAUGUCAAUUUUCUUGGACAUGGUAGAAGAGUAUCUGGAAGUGUUCAUGGAUGAUUUUUCGGUCUUUGGGUCUUCUUUUGAUGCAUGCCUUAAAAAUUUGUCUUUAGUGCUUAAAAGAUGCCACGAAAUAAACCUCUUUCUUAGCUGGGAAAAGAGCCAUUUCAUGGUUCAAGAGGGGAUUGUUUUGGGAAAUUUCAUCUCAAAAUGGGGUAUCGAGGUUGAUAAAGCAAAAGUUGAGCUCAUUUCUGAAUUGCCUCCACCUUCCACGGUGAGAGAGGUCCACUCCUUUCUAGGUCAUACCGGCUUCUAUCGCCACUUUAUCAAAGACUUUAGCGAACUUGCUAGACCCUUAUGCAAUCUUCUUGCCAAGAAGACCCCUUUUGUUUUUUACCAAGCAUGCCUUGAUGCUUUUCAUACACUCCGUGGCUUACUGUCAUCUGCUCCUAUAAUGCAAUCUCCCAAUUGGUCAUUACCUUUUGAGAUUAUGUGUGAUGCUUCUGAUUAUGCAAUGGGAGCAGUUUGGGGACAAAGGGUAGGUAAACUUCCAUGCACCAUAUACAAUGCAAGCAAGACUUUUUUGGGAGCUCAAUUGAAUUACACUCUAUUACCGAGAAAGAAUUACUUGCUGUAGUGCACACUCUUGAUAAAUUCCGGUCCUACCUCUUAGGGUCAAAAGUCAUUGUCUAUUCUGAUCAUGCUACUUUGAGGCACCUUUUGACUAAGAAAGAAACUAAACCUCAUCUAAUCAGAUGGAUUUUGCUUCUUCAAGAACUUGAUUUCGAAAUCAAGUAUAAGAAAGGCACUGAAAAUGUGGUUGCUGAUCAUCUUUCAAGGUUAAUGGUAGAAUUUUCCCCAAGCCCGCCAAUUCGUGAUUCAUUUCCGGAUGAACAACUCUUCUAUUGACCUUAAGGAUUUCAUCCAAUGACAAUCUAGGUGUUUUGAUGAUAACAAACCAUUAAUGGUGUUUAUGGAUUAAUGUUCACAUUGAGUGUUGUAGAUGAUUCACUUUCAAAGAAGAACCUCAUUGAAGAUCAUAAAGACCAUUCCAAGAAUUCCAUUACUUAAGAUCACAUCUAUGGAAAGCAAAGGAGACAAAGAAAACAUGAAGUUGCAAGGAACCAUCCAAAGAUAGAUUGGACAUCAAUGAUCAAGAAAGCAACUUAAAGAAAGGAAGAAUACCUCAAAGUCUAAAAGUUCAUGAACAAAGCUUGAAGAAAGGGGUAGAUAGCUUGGGUGUUGGACAUAUUGAAGUAGCUUUGUGCAUCAUCGAGGAAGAUCAUUUUUUAUUUUUUGGUUUGAAUAUUGUCAUGAAAAGUUACGGAAACAAAGUGGGACAAUUCCGUGGAACAUCCAGUUACUUCUUUGUUGAUUUGGACAUGGAAGGGAAGUGGCGGACGACGCUCCUCCACAGGGUUCGAUGGGACGGUUCCAACCUUAGAGCUUGAUCGUGCUAUUCGAGGACAAUUCCUCAUUCGUCAGAUUAUAAAGGGAUUGCCUAUAUGGAGUGAACAAGUGAGAAUUUGCUCUGAGAAUGGACUUGAAGGUCCUAAUGAUGAUGGGUACAGUUGGAGAAAGUAUGGGCAAAAAUACAUUCUAGGUGCCAAUUAUCCCAGGGGUCUCUGCUUGAUCCUAUGGUAAAAGUUCGUACUCACAAGCAUGAGGUUGUGUUUGAGAUUAGUCACUUAAUGGAAUAGAGUGCCAAAGACCAGGUUUUAUUUCCAGUCUUCCGCUCUGCAGCCCGCGUAGGCAGGACACAGUGAGUAAUUGCACUAAGAGGCAAGAAUCAAGGCGUGCAAAUAACUAUCAAUGGCGACAAUGAUGACAACAAGAAAGGAUCAUAACGACGAAUCAAAUCCCUAUUCUAUUCACUUCUUCAACAACUCCAAUUUUUUUCCUAUCCUUACGACAUGGGUUGCAAAUUAAAUAUUGGAGAGAGACCGUGCUCGAAAUUUUCCACACUGGAAACAUUGAUUCAUAGGCUUCGUAUCUCGCCAAGGACCCAAUCCCAGAAUGGUUCUGACUUUGGAAUGCCAUUGAUGUGCCAGCAAAUGCUGCUUUCUUGCAUCUAAAGGGGGAAAGAAGAAGAAGAAAAAAAUAGGCAUUUACUAGGUGUUAUCUCCAUUUUACCUAAACCACCGAAAUUUAUACAUAUACAUAUAUAUAUGUGUGUGCAUAUGUUUACUGGUAUAUAUAUAGCGAAAGAGAGAGAGUACAUACCUUUUACUGUGACAAUGGUUUGGUGAAUAUUUUCAAAAGUGGUUGCCAUUUGAGCGGACGUUUUAUCCUGGUUUUGCGAAGUGGGGAAAGUGACCCAGUACUGGUUUAUUGCAAUUGGUGGAGGAGUGAAUUUGUACUUGAGCGGGAAAUUUAUAGGGUCAAGCACAAAACUGUACUACCAUUACUGGAACGUUAUUACUGGUGAUUAUGCUUUUGGUCCUACACUCUCUUAUCAGUCUCUGUUUGAUGUUAUGUUUUUUUAACUUUUUGAAAACUAGCCGUACCUUUCAAAAUUUGAGUUUUUUAUUAUUAUUAUUAUUAUUUUUAUAUAAUUUUUUUUUUUUUUUUCAGUUUUAAAUUUGUUUUGGGGGCCAAUGGUUGGUGUAGAUUAGGGAAUGAAAUGUCUAGAGUGCAAAAUGUGAGAAUGUUGGUUCGAUUGUUCAAAAUGUAAGGAUGUUAGUUCGAUCGUUCGAAUUUGAAAGUUAAUCAUUUUGUGCAUAUUAGACGAUAUGAAACAGACGUUUUAUAUUCAAAUUCAAAUUUUAUUGGUGGGACCCAUAUCUAUUCUAUAUAAUAAAAUAUGCUGGAUUUGGGUUGGACAACGGGACCCAUUUUGAUGAUAUAUAGGACCCAUCAUUUUAAUUGAUUUG